CCAAAACGGCGAAGGACAUGGCAUUUCCUGCAUGACUCAGGACAGGGGAGAUGCGGGAAGAAAGCCCCUGUGAACCAGAACGCCAGGUGAAGAGUGAAGAGUCUGAAGGCUGGGAGAGAUUCAGGUCUGCUUCCAUACGGCCCUCCUGUGCCCAUCAGCCCUGAUGUGCUGGGGGAAAAUCCGUCCUUCCUUUGGGCUGAACGAGAGCCAUCGCCAAGCAUCCUGCUGGCUACAGCAGGAGAGGUUUGUUCCCCAGCUGCAGACACACAUGUCCAUGCUCCAGUCAAACACAUACUGUUCCCUUUACGUGUGUCUGUGGAUUUGGGUGAUGCUUUGCAGCCGAACUGUGAGCAGGGGUGGAAGGCCAUGGUUUCUCUGUGGCUGGUUGCAGAAGCACUGCAUGACGCGUGUUGUAUCUGAAAGGCUGGGGUGGCAGCGAGCCUCUGCUGGUUUGUGCUGUCCUGGCUGCAGCCCACGGGGUCGAGCGAAGUUCUGGGAGGCAGGGAAGGGCAUUGCUUCAUCCCUGGGAGUGCCUUCGCAGGGCUUGGGGAUGCUCCCGCAGAGCAAGGCAGGGCUGCCAGCUGGCACGGGGCUGCAGUACCGUCAUGGAGGAGGGACGCAGAUCUGCAGCACAAGCCCCAACAGGGCAGAAGAAGGGAAAACUUCUCCUAGGGAGACUGCAAGGGGUUUUCCAGUUGGGGUAGCUAAUGGAAUUUGGGCUGGAAGGAGGCUUCCUUGCCUUCUGCUGGGAUACAGCCUGACUCCCCUCAGCCUUCUAACCUAUUGUCAUAGCUUCUAAUCUUUUCUUAGAAUCUCCCAUGGUCUUUUGUCCAUUUUUGCUGUGUUUUUCUCAAGAGUUUUUCAAACGCUGUCCACCACAGAGGGAUUCCUUCAUGUCCAGCUGCCAGCGCCCCUGCUUGUUCCUUGCCAGUGCCUGGCUCCAGUUGCAGCAGCCUGUGACUCAUUCCAGCCUCCGAGCUGCUCUGAGGAAUUGCCCUGCUAGUGAUUCCUCUUUGUGGAUUUGUGCAAUUCACGAGCCAUGAAAUUAUGUAACUUUGCCCUUGUCCUUGCUGAGCUGCCUGUGUUUUUCAAACCAGCUCUGCGAUUUGCCAAAGCUGUUCUGACUUCUUUCACCAAUAUGCCAGCAUCUUCUUUUAGCUUGAGAUCUGCAUGUGGUUUUAAACGCCCCAUCAGUGGAAAUGAAAAUAACUGCAUAUUCAAUCCAGAACCAGUCUUUAAGUCUCCUAAUUUGAUAUAUUCUUCAGGACUGAUUUUUGUACCCCUUGAGAUAAUGUUUUUUACAGGUGGCUUAUGGAAAAUAAUUCAUAAUGAUACUCAAACUCUCAACAUACCUCUUGCUAUCUACUAUUUUUUCCCUGUCCUCAAGAGCUGUUAUCCUAAAAAAGGAGGAAAUUAUCAGUUUGACCAUGAGUAGCAGCCAGCAUGGAUUUGUCAAGAAUAAAUCACUUUCUUGCUGUCAUGUAGGUAUCUGCAAUUCAUCUGCUUGUUCCUUUCUGGGCGGUAAGGGGGACUGAAGUUAGGUGGUUGGGUUUUUUUGUUUGUUUUAAAGAUAUUUGUUCUUUCUGAGUCUUUGAACUUUUAUCUGUCCUCCACAACUUCCCAAACAAGGCCAUAAAUGUUUGGGAAUUCAAAAAAUUCAGCCAACUUUUUGUAUGUACUUGGUGAUGAACAGCAUCAGCCCAACCACUUCGAAAAAAUCCAAUUCAUCCGAAGAAUCCCCAGUUUUAAGUUCUCACUCCUUCGUUAUCACUGGUGUUUGUUGUGUUAAGUGCCCUGGUACAGCUGGUGCUUGUGAAGGAGGCAGGAGCAGAGUGGUUGUGCCCUUCUUGUAUCAGAUGUCAGGGCUUUUCUCUUGGGCAGAGCUUAACUCCUUCUUUUGUCUUCCUCUUUCAGUUUAAUAUCAGGGUCCCAAACCUGGUACGUACCCAAAUGAGUUUCAAAUGAACACAGGCAGGUCAGUGUCAUUAUAUACAUCUGUCGCACUGAGAUGGGCAAUUCAGUAACAUCAGGGGUGAGCAAAGCCCUUUGUUACUUCACUGGAAGCACUGGCACUUCAGAUCCUGGGUCAGAAAUCAACAGAGGUGAGUUUGGUCUUGUAGUUCUUGAGCAGACAAAGAUCAACAUCUUGGGGCUGCCUUCGUGCGGCCUAGGAGAGCACAGAGGCUCAGGGUCACAUUCGUGAUGCACUCACAGACUUGGUGAGCUUCCAAGCUGCUUGGUUUUAGUCAAUGCCACUAUUUCCUUACUUUGGUGAGCAGGGAGGCAACGGCGGUGUUUUAUACAGCGGAGGGAAUACUACAAAAGCUGACAUUAGGUGUAAGGGAUUUUUGUGUUGUCGCCUACCAGUUUGCACAUGACCUGGUGUGAUUCAUAGUCUUUGCAAAGUGGGAGAGCAACUACAAAGAGGGCAAUUUUAGAAAUAUCAUCCAAUUGAGCUGUGAGGAAAUCAGACAUAACAAACAAAUGGAAACAGUUGCUGUGCCCCGGCCUUACCGUAAAGCGUUCACAAGCUGCAAAAAAUACAAAAGCCGUGGACUGUGAAGGAAGGUCAGGGCAGCAGUGAUAAACAUGUGAGCAGGACAGAGAAAAGGCCUAAUAUGUGGAAGUGUGUUGUCAGGGUUUUACUUUGCUGUGAUUUGGGGGCCUUAGAUAUCAAACAGGUGAACAGGUACCUGCCUUGGGCCUCUGAGGCUUUUGAGGUUCUCUCGCUAACCACUCUGUUGGCUGGGUUUUCAAAACAAGCCUGUGCAUUAUGGUUGAGGAAACUUGUGUCAAAAAACAAAACUGGAGGAUUUCUUUCCUGCCUCUUCACCGUCCUUCCCUGCCGGGAAUCAUCAGUGUCAUGUUUUUUACAAACACUUCUAGUGUUUGUUCUGGAACCCAUGCCAAAGGAGCCAUUUUUCUGAUUUAGCACUGAUUCCUGUGAUAACUGUAUCGCUUUCGGUUUAGCUGGGGUUUUUGAGGUCUCCUAUUUAUGUCCAUAGAAUAUUUAUUUAUCUGUAGAUCUUGAAUACUGUGAGUGUUAGUAAGCAGUUAAAUAAGCAAAAUCCCUCUCAGGUGGUUCAGGGGAAGGGGAGAAAUAGAUUUUUUUUGGUCUAUGGUUUUUGGGGAGGAAGGGUUGUCCUGUGUCAAACAGCUCAAAUCCAACGAGGAGCCAUGCAGAUGGAGAGAGAAGAGCUGGGAGCUCAGCCUGGGGAAUGUAAGGCUCAGGGUGAGUCUUCCCCAUUUGUACCAACACCUGGUUUGGGACAGUAAAGAUGAAUCCAGAGUCACCUCAGUGGUGCCCAGGGCCAGGACAAGAGUCAGUGGGCACAAGCUGAAAUGUACAAUUCCAACAUUGCAUAAGGAAAAACUUCUCUGCCUUGAGGGCGAUUGAAUCCUGGAGCAGGUUGCAUAGAGAGGGCAUGAAGCCUUCAUCCUCAGAGAUGGCCAAAAUCCAUGGAGAUGGCCAAACCCUGCCAGCCUCCAGCCUGGCCUGCUGCAGCUGGCCCUGCUCCGACAUAAUGGUUGGGCUUAACCGAUCUCCAGAGCUUCCUCCCCCUGCACCCAACUAUCUGGUGAUUUUGCAAACUUGCCAUUGAGUGUGACAGUCAUAAAUUUGCUUUAGAAAAAUACUUCGUGCCUAGACCUGCUGUCUUCCCUCAGAAGUUCCAGUAACUUUGCUCCUGCAUUUCCGUUUGGUACUGGCUCCCUGCCCGUGUCCUUUUUCUGUGAAGUUUAGUUCCUAUCAGUCCUUUCGCAUGCGACGGAUUUUUCCAUUAUUAUUUAAUGAAUGCCCAAAAGCUAUUAUACUGUUUAUUUCCUUUAAGCAUUUUAAGAAAAACCUUUCCUUGUGGUCAGUUUUGGCUUCUUAAGUAAACUUUUAUAACCUUUUGGUGUGUUUAUAUUUCCCUCUUUUUUUGCAUUUGACCUCACUUGCCAAGGGGUGGAGUGGAAAUCCCAUGCUCCAGACACAAAUACAGUUUGGCAUCUCCUGAACCUAUGGCUUCUUCUGUGGCUCUUGCUUCAAAGAGAUCCUGGCCUUCCAACUCAAGGGGCCUGCAGUGCUCAUGCUGGCACCUGGGCUUGUUACCUGCCUCAGCUGAAGGAUGGAGCUCCAGUAAACUUUCCCUGAGAGAGUCACCUGGAAACCACAGAGAUAAAACUGCCUGAGAAAGGAGAUGGAACACAG